rnacentral:rRNA from 1 species
GUUAUAUGGUCAAGUGAAGAAGCGCAUACGGUGGAUGCCUUGGCAGUCAGAGGCGAUGAAAGACGUGGUAGCCUGCGAAAAGCUUCGGGGAGUCGGCAAACAGACUUUGAUCCGGAGAUCUCUGAAUGGGGGAACCCACCUAGGAUAACCUAGGUAUCUUGUACUGAAUCCAUAGGUGCAAGAGGCGAACCAGGGGAACUGAAACAUCUAAGUACCCUGAGGAAAAGAAAUCAACCGAGAUUCCCUUAGUAGUGGCGAGCGAACGGGGAUUAGCCCUUAAGCUUCAUUGAUUUUAGCGGAACGCUCUGGAAAGUGCGGCCAUAGUGGGUGAUAGCCCCGUACGCGAAAGGAUCUUUGAAGUGAAAUCGAGUAGGACGGAGCACGAGAAACUUUGUCUGAACAUGGGGGGACCAUCCUCCAAGGCUAAAUACUACUGACUGACCGAUAGUGAACCAGUACCGUGAGGGAAAGGCGAAAAGAACCCCGGAGAGGGGAGUGAAAUAGAACCUGAAACCGUAUGCGUACAAGCAGUGGGAGCCUACUUGUUAGGUGACUGCGUACCUUUUGUAUAAUGGGUCAGCGACUUAUAUUCAGUGGCAAGCUUAACCGUAUAGGGUAGGCGUAGCGAAAGCGAGUCUUAAUAGGGCGUUUAGUCGCUGGGUAUAGACCCGAAACCGGGCGAUCUAUCCAUGAGCAGGUUGAAGGUUAGGUAACACUGACUGGAGGACCGAACCCACUCCCGUUGAAAAGGUAGGGGAUGACUUGUGGAUCGGAGUGAAAGGCUAAUCAAGCUCGGAGAUAGCUGGUUCUCCUCGAAAGCUAUUUAGGUAGCGCCUCAUGUAUCACUCUGGGGGGUAGAGCACUGUUUCGGCUAGGGGGUCAUCCCGACUUACCAAACCGAUGCAAACUCCGAAUACCCAGAAGUGCCGAGCAUGGGAGACACACGGCGGGUGCUAACGUCCGUCGUGAAAAGGGAAACAACCCAGACCGCCAGCUAAGGUCCCAAAGUUGUGGUUAAGUGGUAAACGAUGUGGGAAGGCUUAGACAGCUAGGAGGUUGGCUUAGAAGCAGCCACCCUUUAAAGAAAGCGUAAUAGCUCACUAGUCGAGUCGGCCUGCGCGGAAGAUGUAACGGGGCUCAAACCACACACCGAAGCUGCGGGUGUCACGUAAGUGACGCGGUAGAGGAGCGUUCUGUAAGCCUGUGAAGGUGAGUUGAGAAGCUUGCUGGAGGUAUCAGAAGUGCGAAUGCUGACAUGAGUAACGACAAUGGGUGAAAAACACCCACGCCGAAAGACCAAGGGUUCCUGCGCAACGUUAAUCGACGCAGGGUUAGUCGGUUCCUAAGGCGAGGCUGAAAAGCGUAGUCGAUGGGAAACAGGUUAAUAUUCCUGUACUUCUGGUUACUGCGAUGGAGGGACGGAGAAGGCUAGGCCAGCUUGGCGUUGGUUGUCCAAGUUUAAGGUGGUAGGCUGAAAUCUUAGGUAAAUCCGGGGUUUCAAGGCCGAGAGCUGAUGACGAGUCGUCUUUUAGAUGACGAAGUGGUUGAUGCCAUGCUUCCAAGAAAAGCUUCUAAGCUUCAGGUAACCAGGAACCGUACCCCAAACCGACACAGGUGGUCGGGUAGAGAAUACCAAGGCGCUUGAGAGAACUCGGGUGAAGGAACUAGGCAAAAUGGCACCGUAACUUCGGGAGAAGGUGCGCCGGCUAGGGUGAAGGAUUUACUCCGUAAGCUCUGGCUGGUCGAAGAUACCAGGCCGCUGCGACUGUUUAUUAAAAACACAGCACUCUGCAAACACGAAAGUGGACGUAUAGGGUGUGACGCCUGCCCGGUGCCGGAAGGUUAAUUGAUGGGGUUAGCGCAAGCGAAGCUCUUGAUCGAAGCCCCGGUAAACGGCGGCCGUAACUAUAACGGUCCUAAGGUAGCGAAAUUCCUUGUCGGGUAAGUUCCGACCUGCACGAAUGGCGUAACGAUGGCGGCGCUGUCUCCACCCGAGACUCAGUGAAAUUGAAAUCGCUGUGAAGAUGCAGUGUAUCCGCGGCUAGACGGAAAGACCCCGUGAACCUUUACUGUAGCUUUGCACUGGACUUUGAGCCUGCUUGUGUAGGAUAGGUGGGAGGCUUUGAAGCGUGGACGCCAGUUCGCGUGGAGCCAUCCUUGAAAUACCACCCUGGCAUGCUUGAGGUUCUAACUCUGGUCCGUAAUCCGGAUCGAGGACAGUGUAUGGUGGGCAGUUUGACUGGGGCGGUCUCCUCCUAAAGAGUAACGGAGGAGUACGAAGGUGCGCUCAGACCGGUCGGAAAUCGGUCGCAGAGUAUAAAGGCAAAAGCGCGCUUGACUGCGAGACAGACACGUCGAGCAGGUACGAAAGUAGGUCUUAGUGAUCCGGUGGUUCUGUAUGGAAGGGCCAUCGCUCAACGGAUAAAAGGUACUCCGGGGAUAACAGGCUGAUACCGCCCAAGAGUUCAUAUCGACGGCGGUGUUUGGCACCUCGAUGUCGGCUCAUCACAUCCUGGGGCUGAAGCCGGUCCCAAGGGUAUGGCUGUUCGCCAUUUAAAGUGGUACGCGAGCUGGGUUUAGAACGUCGUGAGACAGUUCGGUCCCUAUCUGCCGUGGACGUUUGAGAUUUGAGAGGGCUGCUCCUAGUACGAGAGGACCGGAGUGGACGAACCUCUGGUGUUCCGGUUGUCACGCCAGUGGCAUUGCCGGGUAGCUAUGUUCGGAAAAGAUAACCGCUGAAAGCAUCUAAGCGGGAAACUUGCCUCAAGAUGAGAUCUCACUGGGAACUUGAUUCCCCUGAAGGGCCGUCGAAGACUACGACGUUGAUAGGCUGGGUGUGUAAGCGUUGUGAGGCGUUGAGCUAACCAGUACUAAUUGCCCGUGAGGCUUGACCAUAUAACACCCAAACA